UCCAAAUAAACGUGGACGCCAUAAAGGAUUGAACACGCGGGAAAAGAGGGAACAGUUGGGGCAUCCUCUCCCUCUCGAGUGGGAUGUGCGGGGGAGAACAUAUAAAGAGAUCGGAGAGUACAGCUCAAAUUUCUCAAGAGAGCUCGGAUUACUUGUUCGACAGUACCAAAUGCCUCGAAAGAAAGAAUACUUGCACAUUUGGAAAAACGUUCUGUGGUCAACAAGGAAAAUAGAAGGAAACUGAAAGAGCUUAGCUAUGGAGGUUCUCAGUCAAUCCAAGCCCUACGCUAUAAAAAGCGCAAUUUAGAGACUGGGCAACUUGAGUCCAUCCCGGAUAGCUAGAUGGAUACUCACCAUAAAUCAGGCACAGGGUGGGUGACAGAGACAGCCAAAAAUACUUGGGAGGAAUUGCGUGCAUACCGCGACACACAGCAGACACAGGCAACUGAUACUGAGAGUUCCACACCAGUUUCGAGUGCGCCUGAAGAUGAAGACAUAUCUUUGGUACAAACUGUCUUCGGAAACGACGGGGCCACCAGAAAGGAUAUGGACGUAUCCUUAACAUAAGGGGCCGAACUCCAUUUGAUUUUCGUCCUUCACAAACUAGAGAUGAAGAGUUGUCUGAGAUGAGAGAGCGUCUUCGACAGUUAGAGGAGCAUGUCCGGACUCAUUGUAUCACCCCGGGAUCUCAAUGUGCCCCACCACCACCCGAUGAUCCCGAUGUUGGAGCACCGACUCAGUAGGACUUAUGUAUGAAUUUUAUUACAAUUGACUAUUACAUUAUCAUGUUUAAGAAAAUUCUUUAUUUUGA